UGAGUACGAGACGCUAAGGCGUCGAAGUAGUGUAUGUCAUACUUCCAAGAAAAGCUUGCACUAUCAUAGAUAAAAAACGCCUGUACCAUAACCGACACAGGUGGGUAGGUAGAGUAUACUAAGGGGCGCGAGAUAACUCUCUCUAAGGAACUCGGCAAAAUAACUCCGUAACUUCGGGAGAAGGAGUGCCUUAUUAUUAAGGUUGCAAUAACAAGAUCCAAGCAACUGUUUAUCAAAAACACAGGUCUCCGCUAAGUCGUAAGACGAUGUAUGGGGGCUGACGCCUGCCCAGUGCCAGAAGGUUAAAGAAGUUGGUUAGCAAUUGCGAAGCUGAUAACUGAAGCCCUGGUGAACGGCGGCCGUAACAAUAACGGUCCUAAGGUAGCGAAAUUCCUUGUCGGGUAAGUUCCGACCCGCACGAAAGGCGUAAUGAUUUGGAUACUGUCUCGGAGAGGGGCUCGGUGAAAUAGACUUGUCUGUGAAGAUGCGGACUACCUGCACCAGGACAGAAAGACCCUAUGAAGCUUUACUGUAACUUGAAAUUGAAAUUGGACUUUAUUCGCGCAGUAUAGGUGGGAGGCGUUGAUUAUAAUCUUGCGGGAUUAUUGGAGCCAUCAGUGAGAUACCACUCUUGUAAUGUUAGAUUUCUAACUUUGAAUCAUUAUCUGGUCAAAGAACAGUUUCAGGCGGGCAGUUUGACUGGGGCGGUCGCCUCCUAAACGGUAACGGAGGCGUACAAAGGUUUCCUCUGAACGGUUAGAAAUCGUAUCUAGAGUGUAAAGGCAUAAGGAAGCUUGACUGUGAGACCUACAAGUCGAGCAGGGACGAAAGUCGGUCUUAGUGAUCUGACGGUACUGAGUGGAAAGGCCGUCACUCAACGGAUAAAAGUUACUCUAAGGAUAACAGGCUGACCUCCCCCAAGAGUUCACAUCGACGGGGAGGUUUGGCACCUCGAUGUCGGCUCAUCGCAUCCUGGGGCGGUAGUACGUCCCAAGGGUUGGGCUGUUCGCCCAUGAAAGCGGUACGCGAGCUGGGUUCAGAACGUCGUGAGACAGUUCGGUCCAUAUCCGGUGUAGGCGUUAGAAUAUUGAGAGGAGCCUUCUUUAGUACGAGAGGACCGAGAAGGACAUACCUCUGGUGUACCAGUUAUCGUGCCAACGGUAAACGCUGGGUAGCUAUGUAUGGAGUGGAUAACCGCUGAAAGCAUCUAAGUGGGAAGCCCACCUCAAGAUAAGUAUUCUC
rnacentral:rRNA from 1 species